rnacentral:lncRNA from 1 species
CACAGUAGCCUCCAUCACCGACAGUCAUGGCAUCCACCGCAGCUGCGGCCGCCGCCACGUCUUCUUUCAUGGGAACCCGUCUCCCGGAACUGCAUUCCAGUUCUGGUCGAGUCACGGCCCGGUUUUCCUUCGGAAAGAAGAAAGCAGCACCUAAGAAAGUGUCCAAACCCGUCACAUCCGACCGGCCGUUAUGGUAUCCAGGUGCAAAAGCGCCGGAGUAUCUCGAUGGAAGCCUGGUUGGAGACUACGGGUUUGACCCAUUUGGUCUAGGUAAACCCGCUGAGUAUCUUCAGUUUGAUUUGGACUCAUUGGAUCAAAACUUGGCUAAGAACUUGGCUGGGGACGUGAUCGGAACCAGGUUCGAGAAUGAGGACGUGAAGUCGACUCCUUUCCAACCAUACACCGAGGUGUUUGGGCUUCAGAGGUUCAGGGAGUGCGAACUGAUACACGGGAGAUGGGCUAUGUUGGCUACCCUUGGUGCGCUUGUUGUUGAAUCGGUGACUGGUGUUACAUGGCAAGACGCUGGAAAGGUACCAUAUAUAUAUGUAUAACCUAAUCUGUAUCAUUUAUCAAUCAUAAAAACAAAAGAGCUCAUUAACUAAUCUUUUUAUUUGACAUUUGCUUUCUUUUAGGUGGAACUAAUCGAUGGUUCAUCUUAUUUUGGACAACCGUUACCCUUCUCUAUCACUACUUUGAUUUGGAUCGAGGUUUUGGUUAUCGGAUACAUUGAGUUUCAAAGGAACGCUGAACUGGAACCUGAGAAAAGACUCUACCCAGGUGGUCCAUUCGAUCCAUUGAACUUGGCAGCUGACCCUGAAAAGAAAGCUGUUCUUCAAUUGGCGGAGAUCAAGCAUGCUCGUCUUGCUAUGGUGGCGUUUCUUGGGUUUGCUGUCCAGGCUGCAGCCACCGGAAAGGGCCCGCUCAACAACUGGGUAACCCAUUUGAGUGACCCGCUUCACACUACCA